GCUGAACUUAAGCAUAUCAAUAAGCGGAGGAGAAGAAACUAACAAGGAUUCCCCUAGUAACGGCGAGCGAAGCGGGAAGAGCUCAAAUUUGAAAGCUGGCACCUCCGGUGUCCGCGUUGUAAUCUCGAGACGUGUUUUCCGUGUGGCGCUAUGGACAAGUCCCUUGGAACAGGGCAUCGUAGAGGGUGAAAAUCCCGUACUUGCCAUGGAUGUACCAUGCUUUGUGAUACACGCUCUAAGAGUCGAGUUGUUUGGGAUUGCAGCUCAAAAUGGGUGGUAGACUCCAUCUAAAGCUAAAUAUCGGGGAGAGACCGAUAGCGAACAAGUACCGUGAGGGAAAGAUGAAAAGCACUUUGGAAAGAGAGUUAAAAGUACGUGAAAUUGUCGAAAGGGAAGCGCUUGAAGUCAGCCAUGCUGCUUGAGACUCAGCCUUGCUUUUGCUUGGUGUAUUUCUCGGUAGCAAGCCAGCAUUGGUUUGAGUCGUCGGAGAAGGGUACGAGAAAUGUGGCAUCCUCGGAUGUGUUAUAGGCUUGUACUGGAUACGACGAUUUGGAUCAAGGAACGCAGUGUGCCUCUGGCGGGUCUUCGGACACCUUCACACUUAGGAUGCUGGCGUAAUGGCUU
rnacentral:rRNA from 1 species